UUGACUUUACCUCACACCUAUCGUCCAAAGCAACACCAAAAGGUAAAAGUUGAAAAUCAAUUUCCUUUCUUCCCACUUACCCGUCGAUCUACACCCAAGGAAAAUGGAAAACUUCAUCUUCCUCUCCAAGCAAGCCAUAGCCAACCUUCACCUAUUUCCUUCCUCUUCUCCUUCCAUCUUCAAGAAAGCAAGUUCAUCUCAUCACCUUCAAGCCUUAUGACUCCAUAGCAAGGGAAGAAGAAAAAUAUUUUCUCUCAUCCUCUUCAAGCCAUACGAGUAUACUCCCUCCCUACUCAUUUUCGGGUUUUGCCUCAAACCUUGGAACUAAAAUUUGAUUUCAUCUUCUAAAUGGUGAAAUAUUGAAGUGAUAUUGUGUUGCUCUUCUUCCACACGGGUUUACCACUAUUUGGUCAUCUAUCUUGCCUCUUAAAAGGGGUUAAGAGCUUAAGGAAUAUUGAUGAAUGAAAGUAUCGAGGAGCAUAGAGGUAAUGAUGAAAAGGCUGGGGAGCAAGGCAUUACUGUAGAGGGAGAGGCAGACACUUAGGACCUUCCCUAACGAGGACAGUUUUGUUACGAAUGAUGAGUUAUGUUAUGUAUAGAUAUUUUAAUUUGGGAUGGACUCUGAGAGUCUCUUAUGGUUGAAUGUUCGAAUAGAAUGUCCAUUAGGUGUUCCCUUUUAUUAAAUGAAAAAUUUAGAGUGCACGUGUGUCAUGUCCAUGCUGAUCACAUGUUAUUAGAAAAAGAAAGAAAAUAAUAGUCAUGUAAGUCAGGAUUCCUUCCUUCCUGGGACGAGGUUGUGACACACCGGCAACCACCUCUCGUAGACCUAGCCACCACGAACCUCCCUCUCCCUUUCCGUCACACACACGCAAGCUACCCAUAAAUGGUGGGUCUCGCACGAGCUCAGGGUGGGGGGGAGGACGGGCGACGGGGGAGGAGAGAGAGGAAUUUCAAAAUUCAAAAAUGAAAUGUGUGAAAUGAGAGGGAAGUGGGAUUUGUUGUGAGAAUGUUCUUGUCAUUUUAUUAUAGUGUGUGUUGGACAAUC